rnacentral:snRNA from 1 species
AGCUUUGCAGUGGCAGUACCAUAGCCAGUGAGGUUUCUCCAAGGCGCGAUUAUUGCUAAUUGAUACGUACUAGUGGAUAUCUGCCAUUAUACAUUUCUUAAAACCUGAAGAAUGUGUAUCAGG